rnacentral:rRNA from 1 species
GACGAACGCUGGCGGCGUGCUUAACACAUGCAAGUCGAACGGAAAGGCCCUGCUUUUGUGGGGUGCUCGAGUGGCGAACGGGUGAGUAACACGUGAGUAACCUGCCCUUGACUUUGGGAUAACUUCAGGAAACUGGGGCUAAUACCGGAUAGGAGCUCCUGCUGCAUGGUGGGGGUUGGAAAGUUUCGGCGGUUGGGGAUGGACUCGCGGCUUAUCAGCUUGUUGGUGGGGUAGUGGCUUACCAAGGCUUCGACGGGUAGCCGGCCUGAGAGGGUGACCGGCCACAUUGGGACUACGAUACGGCCCAGACUCCUACGGGAGGCAGCAGUGGGGAGUAUUGCACAAUGGGCGGAAGCCUGAUGCAGCAACGCCGCGUGCGGGAUGACGGCCUUCGGGUUGUAAACCGCUUUCGCCUGUGACGAAGCGUGAGUGACGGUAAUGGGUAAAGAAGCACCGGCUAACUACGUG